CUGAAUUUAAGUCUGGGACGACAUCUUUUAUUUUUACAUGAAUCUCUAAACAAUUCUGUGAGCAAAGUUUGUAGCUGCUGGAUUAUUGUCUGUCUUUAUAGCAAGUUCCGGUAAACCACAAAUAUGACAAAGGAUAUCCGAUUUUAUGCUUGGAGUAUUUGGUACCUACCAGUUUCUGAUGUUUCAGGCCAGGAGUGGGGUAAAUAAGUGUGACCACUUAAAGCUGCUUGUAGCAUGG
rnacentral:lncRNA from 1 species